AGCAGGUUUCGCGUUUGCACCCCGCUCUUGCCCAGCCACCGGGAGUCUCCCACCUCUGGGUUUCCCCACUUUGGGCAAGCCCUGGCCUCUCUGCUCCCCGGAAGGAGAGGGCAGUUCCCUGGAGAGUUCGAGUAGAUUUGGAGCCUCCUUUUAAGAUCGCUGUUUCUCCCAGAGGAGGACUACACAUUCCCACUCUGUGGCAGGUGGUUGUGACCAUAUGACUGGAACUCAGCAGUGAAAUGUGAGUGGAAACAACUGCCCUUGGUUUUUUCCCUCUACCACCGUGUCAGCAAUGAUACAGAGAAGUGACUCAUCAGCCCAGAUCCUGGAGCAAAGAUCAUGUGCAUGCAGCAGGGCUGCAGGAAUCCAGGAUGGACUUGCUGCUAAAACUGUUAAAAAAAAAAAAAAAAAAAAAAAAA